rnacentral:rRNA from 1 species
UUCCAGACUCCUACGGGAGGCAGCAGUGGGGAAUAUUGCACAAUGGGGGAAACCCUGAUGCAGCGACGCCGCGUGAGUGAAGAAGUAUUUCGGUAUGUAAAGCUCUAUCAGCAGGGAAGAAAAUGACGGUACCUGACUAAGAAGCCCCGGCUAACUACGUGCCAGCAGCCGCGGUAAUACGUAGGUGGCAAGCGUUGUCCGGAUUUACUGGGUGUAAAGGGCGUGUAGCCGGGCCGGCAAGUCAGAUGUGAAAUCCCAAGGCUCAACCUUGGAACUGCAUUUGAAACUGUUGGUCUUGAGUAUCGGAGAGGCAGGCGGAAUUCCUAGUGUAGCGGUGAAAUGCGUAGAUAUUAGGAGGAACACCAGUGGCGAAGGCGGCCUGCUGGACGACAACUGACGGUGAGGCGCGAAAGCGUGGGGAGCAAACAGGAUUAGAUACCCCUGUA